GUUGGCGGUGACGAUUUGUAAAUAUUCAAGCACAACUGACCAAAUCACAGGUUUUCUCUGUGGAUUAUCCCGCUGAACACAGACAUC
rfam:Hordeum vulgare subsp. vulgare, WGS project CAJW01000000 data, contig: morex_contig_275921